UGUAAGCGUAUACCAAAGUUGUUGCAGUUAAAACGCUCGUAGUCGGAAUUUGGCAGUUCCGGAAGUGUGCACGUCGUGUGCGCACUUUGCGGGGACUGCUUUUGUGGUCUUGCGUAGGAUGAGGCACUUUCAUUAGUGAACGUCCUCACGCAAACACUCUUUACUGUGAGAAAAUCAGAGUGCUCAAAGCAGGCAUUUGCCGUGAAUGUAUUAGCAUGGAAUAAUAGAAUAGGACUCGGUUCUAUUUUGUUGGUUUGUUGGGACUGAGUAAUGAUUAAGAGGGACAGUUGGGGGCAUUUGUAUUCCGGCGCUAGAGGUGAAAUUCUUAGAUUGCCGGAAGACAAACUGCUGCGAAAGCGUCUGCCAAGGAUGUUUUCAUUGA
rnacentral:rRNA from 1 species